AACGAACGCUGGCGGCAGGCCUAACACAUGCAAGUCGAACGCCGUAGCAAUACGGAGUGGCAGACGGGUGAGUAACGCGUGGGAACAUACCCCUCGGUUCGGAAUAACUCAGGGAAACUUGAGCUAAUACCGGAUACGUCCGAGGUUUUGUAUCGACCUUGGAGAAAGAUUUAUCGCCGAAGGAUUGGCCCGCGUCUGAUUAGCUUGUUGGUGAGGUAAUGGCUCACCAAGGCGACGAUCAGUAGCUGGCCUGAGAGGAUGAUCAGCCACAUUGGGACUGAGACACGGCCCAAACUCCUACGGGAGGCAGCAGUGGGGAAUCUUGCGCAAUGGGCGAAAGCCUGACGCAGCGACGCCGCGUGAGGGAUGACGGCCU
rnacentral:rRNA from 1 species